rnacentral:rRNA from 1 species
CCGCCGGCGACCGGCGCACGGGUGAGUAACACGUAUGCAACCUGGCCGUGACAGAUGGAUAACCGGGAGAAAUCCCGCCUAAUACAACAUAAUGCCGGGAGGGGACAUCCCCUGCCGGCCAAAGGGGGCGACCCCGGUCACGGAUGGGCAUGCGGCGCAUUAGGUAGUUGGUGGGGCAACGGCCCACCAAGCCGACGAUGCGUAGGGGUUCUGGGAGGAAGGUCCCCCACACUGGUACUGAGACACGGACCAGACUCCUACGGGAGGCAGCAG